GCUCAGGAUGAACGCUGGCGGCGUGCUUAACACAUGCAAGUCGAACGAGCCUUCGGGCUAGUGGCGGACGGGUGAGUAACGCGUGAGAAUCUGCCCUCAGGAGGGGGAUAACGGCUGGAAACGGCCGCUAAUACCCCAUAUGCCGCGAGGUGAAAUGAGAAAUCGCCUGAGGAUGAGCUCGCGUCUGAUUAGCUAGUUGGUGGGGUAAUAGCCUACCAAGGCAUCGAUCAGUAGCUGGUCUGAGAGGAUGAUCAGCCACACUGGGACUGAGACACGGCCCAGACUCCUACGGGAGGCAGCAGUGGGGAAUUUUCCGCAAUGGGCGCAAGCCUGACGGAGCAACGCCGCGUGAGGGAUGAAGGCCUCUGGGCUGUAAACCUCUUUUCUCAAGGAAGAAGAACUGACGGUACUUGAGGAAUAAGCCACGGCUAAUUCCGUGCCAGCAGCCGCGGUAAUACGGGAGUGGCAAGCGUUAUCCGGAAUUAUUGGGCGUAAAGCGUCCGCAGGCGGUCUUGAAAGUCUGUUGUUAAAGCGUGGAGCUCAACUCCAUUUCAGCAAUGGAAACUAGAAGACUAGAGUGUGGUAGGGGCAGAGGGAAUUCCCGGUGUAGCGGUGAAAUGCGUAGAUAUCGGGAAGAACACCAGUGGCGAAGGCGCUCUGCUGGGCCAUAACUGACGCUCAUGGACGAAAGCCAGGGGAGCGAAAGGGAUUAGAUACCCCUGUAGUCCUGGCCGUAAACGAUGAACACUAGGUGUCGGGGGAAUCGACCCCCUCGGUGUCGUAGCCAACGCGUUAAGUGUUCCGCCUGGGGAGUACGCACGCAAGUGUGAAACUCAAAGGAAUUGACGGGGGCCCGCACAAGCGGUGGAGUAUGUGGUUUAAUUCGAUGCAACGCGAAGAACCUUACCAGGGUUUGACAUCCUGCGAAUCUUUUGGAAACAGAAGAGUGCCUUCGGGAGCGCAGAGACAGGUGGUGCAUGGCUGUCGUCAGCUCGUGUCGUGAGAUGUUGGGUUAAGUCCCGCAACGAGCGCAACCCACGUCUUUAGUUGCCAGCAUUGAGUUGGGCACUCUAGAGAGACCGCCGGUGAUAAACCGGAGGAAGGUGUGGAUGACGUCAAGUCAUCAUGCCCCUUACAUCCUGGGCUACACACGUACUACAAUGCUACGGACAGAGGGCAGCAAACUCGCGAGAGCUAGCAAAUCCCAUAAACCGUGGCUCAGUUCAGAUCGUAGGCUGCAACUCGCCUACGUGAAGGAGGAAUCGCUAGUAAUCGCAGGUCAGCAUACUGCGGUGAAUACGUUCCCGGGCCUUGUACACACCGCCCGUCACACCAUGGAAGUUGGCCAUGCCCGAAGU
rnacentral:rRNA from 1 species